rnacentral:rRNA from 1 species
GACGAACGCUGGCGGCGUGCUUAACACAUGCAAGUCGAACGGAAAGGCCCUGCUUUUGUGGGGUGCUCGAGUGGCGAACGGGUGAGUAACACGUGAGUAACCUGCCCUUGACUUUGGGAUAACUUCAGGAAACUGGGGCUAAUACCGGAUAGGAGCUCCUGCUGCAUGGUGGGGGUUGGAAAGUUUCGGCGGUUGGGGAUGGACUCGCGGCUUAUCAGCUUGUUGGUGGGGUAGUGGCUUACCAAGGCUUUGACGGGUAGCCGGCCUGAGAGGGUGACCGGCAACAUUGGUACUAAGAUACGGCCCAGACUCCUACGGGAGGCAGCAGUGGGGAAUAUUGCAGAAUGGGCGGAAGCCUGAUGCAGCAACGCCGCGUGCGGGAUGACGGCCUUCGGGUUGUAAACCGCUUUCGCCUGUGACGAAGCGUGAGUGACGGUAAUGGGUAAAGAAGCACCGGCUAACUACGUG